GCCGGGGUGGCGGAAUUGGUAGACGCGCUAGAUUCAGGUUCUAGUGUCUGAAAAGACGUGCGAGUUCAAAUCUCGCCCUCGGCACCA
rnacentral:tRNA from 1 species